UAAUAUUCCUGUACUUGGUGUUACUGCGAAGGGGGGACGGAGAAGGCUAUGUUAGCCGGGCGACGGUUGUCCCGGUUUAAGCAUGUAGGCGGAGGUUCCAGGUAAAUCCGGUACCUUUUUAACGCUGAGGUGUGAUGACGAGGCACUACGGUGCUGAAGUAACAAAUGCCCUGCUUCCAGGAAAAGCCUCUAAGCAUCAGGUAACACGAAAUCGUACCCCAAACCGACACAGGUGGUCAGGUAGAGAAUACCAAGGCGCUUGAGAGAACUCGGGUGAAGGAACUAGGCAAAAUGGUGCCGUAACUUCGGGAGAAGGCACGCUGAUAUGUAGGUGAAGUGAUUUACUCAUGGAGCUGAAAUCAGUCGAAGAUACCAGCUGGCUGCAACUGUUUAUUAAAAACACAGCACUGUGCAAACACGAAAGUGGACGUAUACGGUGUGACGCCUGCCCGGUGCCGGAAGGUUAAUUGAUGGGGUUAUCCGUAAGGAGAAGCUCUUGAUCGAAGCCCCGGUAAACGGCGGCCGUAACUAUAACGGUCCUAAGGUAGCGAAAUUCCUUGUCGGGUAAGUUCCGACCUGCACGAAUGGCGUAAUGAUGGCCAGGCUGUCUCCACCCGAGACUCAGUGAAAUUGAACUCGCUGUGAAGAUGCAGUGUACCCGCGGCAAGACGGAAAGACCCCGUGAACCUUUACUAUAGCUUGACACUGAACACUGGUCCUUGAUGUGUAGGAUAGGUGGGAGGCUUUGAAGUGUGGACGCCAGUCUGCAUGGAGCCAUCCUUGAAAUACCACCCUUUAAUGGCUGGUGUUCUAACGUGGACCCGUAAUCCGGGUUGCGGACAGUGUCUGGUGGGUAGUUUGACUGGGGCGGUCUCCUCCUAAAGAGUAACGGAGGAGCACGAAGGUUAGCUAAUCCUGGUCGGACAUCAGGAGGUUAGUGCAAAGGCAUAAGCUAGCUUGACUGCGAGAGUGACGGCUCGAGCAGGUGCGAAAGCAGGUCUUAGUGAUCCGGUGGUUCUGAAUGGAAGGGCCAUCGCUCAACGGAUAAAAGGUACUCCGGGGAUAACAGGCUGAUACCGCCCAAGAGUUCAUAUCGACGGCGGUGUUUGGCACCUCGAUGUCGGCUCAUCACAUCCUGGGGCUGAAGUAGGUCCCAAGGGUAUGGCUGUUCGCCAUUUAAAGUGGUACGCGAGCUGGGUUUAGAACGUCGUGAGACAGUUCGGUCCCUAUCUGCCGUGGGCGCUGGAGAAUUGAGGGGGGCUGCUCCUAGUACGAGAGGACCGGAGUGGACGCAUCACUGGUGUUCGGGUUGUCAUGCCAAUGGCAUUGCCCGGUAGCUAAAUGCGGAAGAGAUAAGUGCUGAAAGCAUCUAAGCACGAAACUUGCCCCGAGAUGAGUUCUCCCUGAGACUUUAAGUCUCCUGAAGGAACGUUGAAGACGACGACGUUGAUAGGUCGGGUGUGUAAGCGUAGCGAUACGUUGAGCUAACCGAUACUAAUGAACCGUGAGGCUUAACCUU
rnacentral:rRNA from 1 species